rnacentral:rRNA from 1 species
GUGGGGAAUAUUGGGCAAUGGGGGCAACCCUGACCCAGCGACGCCGCGUGGGGGAAGACGGCCUUCGGGUUGUAAACCUCUUUUGUACGGGAAGAAGGAAGUGACGGUACUGUACGAAUAAGUCCCGGCUAACUACGUGCCAGCAGCCGCGGUAAGACAGAGGGUGCAAGCGUUGUCCGGAUUGACUGGGUGUAAAGGGCGUGUAGGCGGCCGAGUAAGUCUGACGUGAAAACAUCACCGCUCAACGGGAUGUACGCGGUGGAAACUGUUCGGCUUGAGUACAGGAGAGGUUAACGGAAUUCCAGGUGUAGCGGUGGAAUGUGUAGAUAUCUGGAGGAACACCGGUGGCGAAAGCGGUUAACUGGCCUGUGACUGACGCUGAGGCGCGAAAGCCAGGGGAGCAAACGGGAUUAGAAACCCGUGUAGUCC